GUUCUUGAGGAACGUCCAUACUGUUUUCCAUAGUGGUUGCACCAAUUUACUUUCCCAGCAACAGUGUGGGAGGGUUCCCUUUUCUCCACACCCUCUCCAGCCUUUACUUGCAGUCUUUUUAAUGAUGGCCAUUCUGACUGGUGUGUGGUCAUACCUCAUUUUUUCUUUGCAUUUGUUUCUCACCUACAAGGGGAGCAGACAGAGGGCACUGACCUCUGUUUUCUAACCCACCCAGAGGAGAGGGGACCCUCCCACGCAGCCAGACUCUGUUCAUCUCUUGGAGUGCACCCCCACUCCUGUCCCCAGCUUCUGUGUACUUUUUAUUCUCAACCCCAAACCUGAAAUUUUUCACAAGAGGACUCUCCUCGGGGCUCUGAAGCACUUUGCCCCAUGCUCAAGGGCAGCUGGCAGUACCUGGGAAUGCCUAGAAAAACGGAAGGAGAGAGAAGGUCCCGUCUCUCCCCACGCGGUUGCCGGCCCUGCCAGCAGCCAGCAGGCAGCACGGAGCUGAGCCUGCAGCAGAAGCGGCCGUCUCCCCUUCCGGGCUGACCUGCCUGCGACCCUCCCCAGAGACGUGACAUCCCUCCUGCCAUCAGCCCCUGCAAUGUGACUCACUGCCUCCGGCGCUGACACAGCCUGGUGACAAUUACAGGGUAAGAGCGAUUCCAAACCGUGGAGCUUUCAGACCGGGGCUGUUAUCCUUAUGUAACAUUUCUAUUUCCUUUUGUCCUCGGAGCCUCAGGACUUCCGGCUCCUGAUCAGUCAUAGAGUGACUUCUGCUGAAGAGACUGGGGCAGGACAAAGGUUCUGGAUGUCUUUAUUCUCCUCCCUCUCAGCUCUCUUCAUUAAGCUAUCCCCUGUUCUCCACCCAACACCCCUGAGAUGGCUGAUUCCCUAUGACAAAUUGGGAACAAGGAGAGAGAGAGACAGCCACCUUGAUGGAGCCACUGCACAUGCUGAGCCCAAGAGGAAUGUCUACGAAGUGGAGAACCGAGUGGAGCGAUGAAGCAGAACAACACCACCAGCCAGAAGACCGGAGACGUUCAGCAUCUCCACUGUCUGUCCCUACACCUCGGAGACCACAACGUCUUUACCAAAAGGAAGACAGCUGGAGAACUGUAUCCGGCAGCUAAUGCUGUGUGGCUAGUAGCCUGACCCUUAAUGGCUUAGAACAACCGGAAUCACUUAUUGCCUCUCCCAUUUCUGUAGAUCCAGGGUGCCCUGGUGGGGCAGUUCUGGCUCAGG
ensembl:lncRNA